rnacentral:rRNA from 1 species
UAGGGAAUCUUCGCGCAAUGGACGGAAGUCUGACCGAGCAACGCCGCGUGAGUGAAGAAGGUUUUCGGAUCGUAAAGCUCUGUUGUAAGAGAAGAACGAGUGUGAGAGUGGAAAGUUCACACUGUGACGGUAUCUUACCAGAAAGGGACGGCUAACUACGUGCCAGCAGCCGCGGUAAUACGUAGGUCCCGAGCGUUGUCCGGAUUUAUUGGGCGUAAAGCGAGCGCAGGCGGUUAGAUAAGUCUGAAGUUAAAGACUGUGGCUUAACCAUAGUACGCUUUGGAAACUGUUUAACUUGAGUGCAAGAGGGGAGAGUGGAAUUCCAUGUGUAGCGGUGAAAUGCGUAGAUAUAUGGAGGAACACCGGUGGCGAAAGCGGCUCUCUGGCUUGUAACUGACGCUGAGGCUCGAAAGCGUGGGGAGCAAACAGGAUUAGAUACCCUGGUAGUCCACGCCGUAAACGAUGAGUGCUAGGUGUUAGACCCUUUCCGGGGUUUAGUGCCGCAGCUAACGCAUUAAGCACUCCGCCUGGGGAGUACGACCGCAAGGUUG